UUAACUAUUUGCUUUUCACUUCAGGCUGCAAUGUUGUUCAGGGUUUGAUGUCCGGCCGGCGUGCCGCGCUGUCAAGCGGGCGCGCCUGAGGCCGACGGGUUUGUAAAAUUUCGGGGGCUAAGCAAAGGGUGGGGGCGGGCGCCGAAGCGCCCAACCUGGGUCCCAGUAAUGAUCCUUCCGCAGGUUCACCUACGGAAA
rnacentral:misc_RNA from 1 species